rnacentral:lncRNA from 1 species
CUCGGUAGCUAGCUAGAUAAGUAACAUGCAUUCUUGGCUCAAAAGAAUAUAUUAUUAGUAGCUAAACUGAAUUAAUUCUAACCCUAUUACCCAAAUAUGCUGCAUACUACGGAGAAUGAACAGAUACAGUCCAGUAUGUCUUCUGAGGAAAGAAAGAUCAUGCAGACCACUGAGUCCUCCAGCCCCGCCACUGAUUCUCAGGAGUCAGGCAGGCUUUUGAAGAUGGUGAAGCCAGAUGGCUGGGAAAGCUCUCCUGGUGCCUGCACUGUACCUGUGCCAACAAGUUUCAUCUUCUCCCAGAUGCCAUAUGAAAUGUCAAUAAGGAACCUCAACUUGCCAGUGUUUUCUGUCAUCUUUUGCUUGCUCUCUUAGGACAAUGGAAGCAAGAAUAACCCUAUAAACAUCCCGAUGCAGCAUGUGUGCCAUAGGUUCACCACCACUGCCCUACGGUGCUGUUUAAAAUUAAAUAAAGGAAAGGAGUGACUCCCUCAGCUCCAAUGUUUCUA